CCUACGGGGGGCUGCAGUAGGGAAUCUUCGGCAAUGGACGAAAGUCUGACCGAGCAACGCCGCGUGAGUGAAGAAGGUUUUCGGAUCGUAAAACUCUGUUGUUAGAGAAGAACAAGGACGUUAGUAACUGAACGUCCCCUGACGGUAUCUAACCAGAAAGCCACGGCUAACUACGUGCCAGCAGCCGCGGUAAUACGUAGGUGGCAAGCGUUGUCCGGAUUUAUUGGGCGUAAAGCGAGCGCAGGCGGUUUCUUAAGUCUGAUGUGAAAACCCCCGGCUCAACCGGGGAGGGUCAUUGGAAACUGGGAGACUUGAGUGCAGAAGAGGAGAGUGGAAUUCCAUGUGUAGCGGUGAAAUGCGUAGAUAUAUGGAGGAACACCAGUGGCGAAGGCGGCUCUCUGGUCUGUAACUGACGCUGAGGCUCGAAAGCGUGGGGAGCAAACAGGAUUAGAUACCCUGGUAGUC
rnacentral:rRNA from 1 species